AAAACAGGGAUUGAAGUGGAGGAAAAGAAGGUUCCAAACUCAGAAAAGGAUUUGGUUUUGGAUGGAGGAUUUGUUUUGCCACAUGCCAAUUCUUUUGGCCAUAACUUUAGAGAUUAUGAUGCUGAAAGUGAAAGGCAACAAGGGGUGGAGACUUUCUACAAAACCCAACACAUCCACCAAACCUAUGACUUUGUGAAGAAAAUGAGAGGAGAAUAUGAUAAAUUGGACAAAGUGGAAAUGAGCAUAUGGGAAUGCUGUGAGCUACUAAACAAUGUUGUGGACGAAAGUGACCCUGAUUUGGAUGAACCUCAAAUUCAACAUUUGCUUCAGACAGCUGAAGCAAUUAGAAGAGAUUACCCUAAUGAAGAUUGGCUCCAUUUGACCGGUCUCAUCCACGGUACAUUGACUAAAAUACCCUUG